UACGUAGGGCGCAAGCGUUGUCCGGAAUUAUUGGGCGUAAAGAGCUCGUAGGCGGUUUGUCGCGUCUGGUGUGAAAACUCAAGGCUCAACCUUGAGCUUGCAUCGGGUACGGGCAGACUAGAGUGUGGUAGGGGUGACUGGAAUUCCUGGUGUAGCGGUGGAAUGCGCAGAUAUCAGGAGGAACACCGAUGGCGAAGGCAGGUCACUGGGCCACUACUGACGCUGAGGAGCGAAAGCAUGGGGAGCAAACAGG
rnacentral:rRNA from 1 species